AAUUGCAUUUUGGUCCCCCAAACUCUCCGUUCUCUCUCCUCUCCCACGCGGCCGAACCGCUCGACCCGACCCGUCCGAACGGCGGCCCUCCGGCCUCCUCCGGCCCCGGACCCGGCCUUCCCCGAGUUCGCCGUCGCACGCCUGGCCUCCCUCCGGUGUCGCCGUGCCCCGCCGCUGCCCCCAGACGUGGAUCGAAGCCACCCCAGCCGUGCGAAACCCGACCCGGCCGGAAAACGACUUUUCCGGCGAUGCACGGGCCGAUCGUUCCCAUUUUCGUGAUCUCCUCCUCAUGCUGAUCAUCCCCAUGUACUUGACGGUUUGAGUUGACGAGCGUUUGGAAUAUCGUUAUAAUUGACUUGUUAGAAGACGUAGCGGGAUUAGAGGCCUGCAGCUGGGGUCAGGUUACAUCGUAUGAUGCUUGAAGAUUUGCCGAAUGGUAUUAUGGAUGAGGUACUGUGAGCACGUUGCCAUUUGCUUUGAAAGAGUUUAUCCAUAUCAAAGAAGGGUUGCAGUUGUGGAGAAGAAAUUUUGUUGUCUCUGGAUGUAAUGAAUUAUUUUUAGUUGGCGAAUUUGUUGUAUGAUGCAUUUUUUU